rnacentral:rRNA from 1 species
AGUGGGGGAUAACGUAGCGAAAGUUACGCUAAUACCGCAUAUGCCCUGAGGGGGAAAGGUGGGGAUCGCAAGACCUAUCGCUUUCGGAGUGGCCGAUAUCAGAUUAGCUAGUUGGUGAGGUAAAGGCUCACCAAGGCUCCGAUCUGUAGCUGGUCUGAGAGGACGACCAGCCACACUGGGACUGAGACACGGCCCAGACUCCUACGGGAGGCAGCAGUGGGGAAUUUUGGACAAUGGGCGCAAGCCUGAUCCAGCCAUGCCGCGUGAGUGAAGAAGGCCUUCGGGUUGUAAAGCUCUUUCAGCCGGAAAGAAAUCGCACUUAUUAAUACUAAGUGUGGAUGACGGUACCGGAAGAAGAAGCACCGGCUAACUACGUGCCAGCAGCCGCGGUAAUACGUAGGGUGCGAGCGUUAAUCGGAAUUACUGGGCGUAAAGCGUGCGCAGGCGGUUUAUUAAGACAGAUGUGAAAUCCCCGGGCUCAACCUGGGAACUGCAUUUGUGACUGGUAAGCUAGAGUGUAGCAGAGGGGGGUAGAAUUCCA